AUAAAUAUUACAUAAACGUAAAGCUUAUGUAGAUAGAAACUUCAAUGCUUUAACGAGGAGCACCCCCUCAAUUUCUAAUAGGGUCAUCUCACCUUCGCAUUUGUAGUUUCUUUGCCUUGGUGCAUGCCAUUAUUUUAACAUCUUUCCACUUCCCAUGAUGCCUAACAUGCCAAAUUAAAGAAACAUAUUUCCUUUGGUAACGCACCAACGACCAUCUUUAUUAGCCAAAGCAAACCAAAGCAACGCGUCGGUUUCCAAAUGUAAAGAAAAGCAGCAGCCGGCUGAAUAAAUUAACAAAAAUAUCUCCGCUGGCAUUCUCUCUGAUCCAUAGCAGCAAGCAACUUGC
rnacentral:lncRNA from 1 species